rnacentral:rRNA from 1 species
GAUGAACGCUGGCGGCGUGCCUAAUACAUGCAAGUCGAGCGAACGGACGAGAAGCUUGCUUCUCUGAUGUUAUCGGCGGACGUGUGAGUAACACGUGUAUAACCUACCUAUAAGACUGGGAUAACUUCGGGAAACCGGAUCUAAUACCGUAUUAUAUUUUGAACCGCAUGGUUCAAAAGUAAAAUACGGUCUUGCUGUCACUUAUAGAUGGAUCCGCACUUCAUUAGCUAGUUGGUAAGGUAACGGCUUACCAAGGCAACGAUGCAUAGCCGACCUGAGAGGGUGAUCGGCCACACUGGAACUGAGACACGGUCCAGACUCCUACGGGAGGAAGCAGUAGGGAAUCUUCCGCAAAGGGCGAAAGCCUGACGGAGCAACGCCGCGUGAGUGAUGAAGGUCUUCGGAUCGUAAAACUCUGUUAUUAGGGAAGAACAUAUGUGUAAGUAACUGUGCACAUCUUGACGGUACCUAAUCAGAAAGCCACGGCUAACUACGUG